rnacentral:rRNA from 1 species
GAUGAACGCUAGCUACAGGCUUAACACAUGCAAGUCGAGGGGAAACGAUAGAGAAAGCUUGCUUUUUCUAGGCGUCGACCGGCGCACGGGUGAGUAACGCGUAUCCAACCUGCCCAUCACUUGGGGAUAACCUUGCGAAAGUAAGACUAAUACCCAAUGACGUCCAUAGAAGACAUCUGAAAGGGAGUAAGGAUUUGUCGGUGAUGGAUGGGGAUGCGUCUGAUUAGCUUGUUGGCGGGGUAACGGCCCACCAAGGCGACGAUCAGUAGGGGUUCUGAGAGGAAGGUCCCCCACAUUGGAACUGAGACACGGUCCAAACUCCUACGGGAGGCAGCAGUGAGGAAUAUUGGUCAAUGGGCGAGAGCCUGAACCAGCCAAGUAGCGUGCAGGAUGACGGCCCUAUGGGUUGUAAACUGCUUUUAUAAGGGAAUAAAGUGAGCCUCGUGAGGCUUUUUGCAUGUACCUUAUGAAUAAGGACCGGCUAAUUCCGUGCCAGCCGCCGCCGUAA